CUUUUCGUUGCUUUUAAAAAGCAAUAAAUAAAAUACCAGUUCAUUUAACAUUACUAGGUGUGGCUCAGUGAUAAGGUGUUGUUUUUUUCCUGUCAAGUAGACAAUUUCCUCAUUUUUGUCUAAAAUGGAGUACACUUAUAGUGAAAUGUGCGAUAUGCACUUUGUGUAUGGUCUUGCUAAUGGUAAUUCACAAGCAGCGAGGCGUAUUUACGCGGACAAAUACCCUAACCGAGUACUUCCUCAUAGUCAAAUGUUUACUCGCCUCCAUCAACGUCUCAGAGAAAGUGGAAGUUUUAAAAAACUUACAGUCGACAAUGGACGACCCCGCACAGUUGCAACCGCAGAAGCUGAAGAAGCAGUGCUCCACGAAAUCGAGGAUAAUCCUUCAACGAGUACAAGACAGAUUGCUGCCACUUUAAACAUUAGUCAGUCAACAGUGUUUAGAAUACUGAAAAAUCAGCUUUUAUACCCGUAUCACAUCCAGCGGGUACAAGCACGUUUGCCAGACGACUAUCCUCAUAGAGUGGCUUUCUGUCGAUGGUUACAACAAAACAUUGUAGAAAAUCCUCCUUUUUUAUCAAAAAUACUUUUCACGGACGAAGCUAAUUUCUCCAGGAAUUCGAUAAUGAAUUUCCAUAAUAAUCACAUUUGGGCAGAUGAAAAUCCACAUGGAAUAAGUGAAAGUCGCCAUCAACACCAAUUUUCACUGAAUGUUUGGGUUGGAAUCAUUGAAGACCACUUAAUUGGUCCUUUCUUUUUGCAACAAAGGUUAAGUGGAGAAGUGUAUCGGCGUUUUCUUCAAGAGGAGUUGCCAACACUAUUAGAAAACGUCCCGCUUGACUUAAGGUACCAAAUGUUUUUCAUGCAUGAUGGCGCUCCGGCGCAUUUCAGCUUAAUUGCUCGACAGUAUUUAGAUAGAGUAUAUCCCAAUCGUUGGAUAGGUCGUGGAGGUAUACAACCCUGGCCUGCGCGAUCUCCCGAUCUAAAUCCAAUAGACUUUUUCCUCUGGGGCCACCUCAAGCAAUUAGUUUAUACCACCCCCAUCGAAAAUGUUGAAGAAUUAAGAAAUCGUAUUAUUGCAAAUUGCGAUAUUAUUCGAAACACGCCAGGGAUCUUUGAACGUGUUCGCCAGUCAAUGCGUCGCAGGACAGACGCAUGCAUUGCAGUUGGAGGAACUUAUUUUGAACAACUCAUAGCGUACGUUUCUUAGUCCAUAGCUUUUCAUUACCUUCAUCAAUUUACUAAUGUUUAUUCUAAGAAUUUAAUUAAUGUACCUAAGUUUAAUUAAAACUAUUUUUCAACAGGUAGUACAGUUAAUGUCAUGUCAAAAUUCCAAAUUACCGUAUUUACUAUUCUUCACCCUGUAAAUCGAUAAGUAGGCAUUUUAUUAUGUUUAUUCAAGUUUUUUCAAACGUUUGCAUUAAACUAAUUUUUUUAUCGAAAACGGAGGGAGAUACGAAAAACACCCAAGAGUUGAAACAAUUCCAUCUUUAGUUGCGUCAUCCAAAAAAUGUACAGGAGGUUCAAAAAAUCUACUAGGUGCUAUUUUUUGUACAAAAAACCUAACCCGCUUACCCCGUGGGCACGUCCCUGGAAUAACAAAUCAACUGUCAUAUGUCAAAAAGAUACAUCAUUAAGAUAUCCAGAAAUGGUGUGAAUGACAUUGCAAACAGCAAAGGCAUUUCUUAGAUAUUAAUAAAAAAUCGAUUUUUUAAGAAAAUUUGAACACCCUGUAUCUCGGAAACGAAGCACUUUCGGACAUAUGUUUAUAGGAACUUUUCGUCAUAAUUUAACCCAAAAAAACCGGCAUUUCAUUUUCGUGCAAUAUUAAUGAAUCACCCUGUAUAUCAAACCUCCUUAAAAAACCUUGUCAAAUUGUGAAACAUGUCAAAUAAAAUUAGCAAAGACAUUUUUUCAAUACUACAAAGCAACCAUAACGAAUAUUUAAGGCCAUAUGAGCCUCUGACAUAUCAAAAAAAAUAUAGCGAUAUCGAUCUGAUAAGUAAUUGUGAACAGUUGUUAAGUGCGAUCAACAAAAUCUGUUCCGAAUAUGAAGUUAAUCCAGUGCGACAACAAGAGGCAAUUAAUAUCGUUGCAAGAUUCUUAAGAUCGGCAAGAUUUAAAUUAAUCUUUCAAAAAAUUAAAAGGAAGAUUACGGAAGUUCAAAAGAAGAAUCCCAAAGUGGUUUUAAAACCUGUUAAUCCGGUGCAUGCGGAAUUGUAUGAAAAAAACAGUUGGAAGGUGAUUUUUCGAUUGGAUGGAACGACUUUUCCCCCGAAAAUCGUAUACAAACUGUUGUGCAUAUACCCAUCUUUCAGUCUCUGUAAUUUGGGAAACAGCUUUAGGGUCGAAUGGCAUCUUUUCAGUACUUACAGAUGUUUAGUAUGUAAACUGUCAAGCAAACCCCUCGCAAAUAGACGAAAAAAUAAAAAGACCACAAUAACAGAAUCAUCAUUUCGACAUUGGUUUAAUCAGAUUUACAGAUAAGAGCGAGUUUUGUGUUCGUUAUUAGAAAUACCUAUUUAUUUUGUAAAGUAUGAUUUAAUAGAUUAAAAUUUGUAUAUAA
rnacentral:lncRNA from 1 species